rnacentral:rRNA from 1 species
UUUCUGCUCAGAACGAACGCUGGCGGCAUGCCUUAACACAUGCAAGUCGAACGAACCCUUCGGGGUGAGUGGCGCACGGGUGCGUAACGCGAGGGAACCUGCCUUUAGGUUCGGAAUAACAGUUAGAAAUGACUGCUAAUACCGGAUAAUGUCUUCGGACCAAAGAUUUAUCGCCUUUAGAUGGGCCCGCGUUAGAUUAGAUAGUUGGUGGGGUAAUGGCCUACCAAGUCGACGAUCUAUAGCUGGUCUGAGAGGAUGAUCAGCCACACUGGGACUGAGACACCGGCCAGACUCCUACGGGAGGCAGCAGUGGGGAAUAUUGGACAAUGGGCGAAAGCCUGAUCCAGCAAUGCCGCGUGAGUGAUGAAGGCCUUAGGGUUGUAAAGCUCUUUUACCAGGGAUGAUAAUGACAGUACCUGGAGAAUAAGCUCCGGCUAACUGCCGU